CCUAGCUGCUGUUUCUCUGUUCCUAAAUCUUCCCGCUCUUUCAUUCAAGCCCAACCCCCUUUGCUUUGUGUAACCAGCCAUGAUACAGGUUCCGUCCACCAGGACGUUUUCUGUAUGACAUCAUUGUAUUCUGUGUAUUUGUAAUUCUGUGUGAUUAGUUAGGUAUUUAGUAAAUAAAUAAUUAAACCCAAUUUUGUAUUGCUGAUUCAACUUGUUAGCCAGGGUUCGUGAAGAUAACCAAGAAUUUACAACUUUCAUUAUGAGACUGAAAAUAAGAUGAGGGUUAAUAUUGACUGCUAUCGAUGUAAAAUAUUACUAAGUAUUUUAAGAGUUUAUUCGGAAGAUAACAGCUCUAUAAACGUUCUUCCGUGGUGCCCCGACUUUCUAGUUAAUUACAUUCACAUGAUUAGCUUAAUCAGGUAAUAUUAAUUACAGAGAAAUAAUUUUAUAAGUUAGCAUGUCAUAUCACUUAAUCCGGCAUAGCCAAAGACACGACAAAAGCUAGACUGGCAAUUGCAAACAACAUGUUCUUCUCUACUACCACCAUUGACUUUAUACUUCUUACACUGUUUGGUAAUAUACAUUUUUGUUUAUGUAGACCCAGAUUGUGAGUGCACGUCCCAUACAUUCUAUUUCCAUGGCAUGCAUCCACUCGUUCUAGACAUGGUUUACCUAGCCAUGCCAUGAUUGUCAGACAAACUUGAAGGGGAUUACUGUUGCCAGUUACAUUAUGGGGUGUAGGCAGGAUCACAUUAUGAUGGCUUGCAAAGGGAUGUGUAAUUUCUAUUGGAAUCCAGCCGGAGUUAGGAUAUCCAACAGUUAGAAUUUUUUUUCAAAGGCAUAGAGCCCCACAGUGGACGUGUCUGAAUGACCAUAAAACCUAGCGGUCAAACACGGAAAUAGUUCCAAUUGUUUUUUUCACCAUUCAUUUUUCCCAUAGGAGGUUUUAGAACCACUUAAAACGAGGUCUGUGAUGAAACACAGACCUCGUGCAUUAUUUUCAGGUGAUAAGACUCAGGCACACCCAUUGUUUCUGCAAUGGGUGUGCCUGCAAUAGAGAAUGUGCAAAUAAGAUUUGCAAUUUGGCAUCAAUAACAUGACAGCAAUUCUACCUCAAAAACAAAUGUGUGAUUACCAAUUCAUUUAAAACUCACCAGUUCCGGAGAUUUCCGAGUUCCCUGUUUCGAGUUCCCAGUUGUUUGGAAUGCGGCAUCUAUUCAGAAUGACUGUGUCACGUCCUGACCAGUUAAGGGUUAUUUGUUGUUGGAGUUUGGUCAGGAUGUGGCAGAGGGUAUUUGUUUUAUAUGGUUUGGGGUGGUGGUGUAGGUAGUAGGUCGUUUUAUUUAUGUAUUCCGGGGGUUUUGGGCACUGCUCUGUGUUUAUGUAUUUCUAUGUUUAGUUAGUUGUGGGUAUAGGUUCUAGGUUCGUUUUCUAUUUGCCUUUGAUUGGGAGUCCUAUAUAAUAGGGUGUGUUUGUCUUUGUGGGUAGUUGUUUUUGCAUUGCGUUUUGUAUAGCCUGCAAAACUGUUGCUGUCGUGAGUAUCAUUUAUUGUUUUUUUCCCUGUGGAUGCUUUACUUUUGUUUAUUAAUAAACUAUGAGUAUCCACAUACCCGCUGCAGUUUGGUCAAUUCAACACGGCACCUUUUGUGACAGACUGUCUUCUUCUUCUUUGGUAUCAUGGCAUUCUCACAUUUGUGACCCACCACCUGGAUUCGGUCCUAUGUAGCAACAUUUUAUAUUGUUUUUUUACAUUGGAAAAAAGUAGAGGCUCUAGAAAAAGGUAUAUCUUACACUGCAGUUGAGGAACAAUGGGAAAGAAAUUCUGCUUUGAAAGUUGACAAACGUGUAACCCCACUAUUGAGAAAAUGGCCCGUGAAUGUUUGAUACACUUACUGAAGAGCUCUUCUUAGUCUACACACAUUCAGCAUCAUUGACACCACUUUAGCCCUACCCACCUCUUUAAGGAUUUACAUGUGAGGCCAUGUGAAUAUGUUAGCG
rnacentral:lncRNA from 1 species